UGGUUUACAAUCUGUGUGUUUUUUUAAAUCUGAAUUUGUUCACAAUAUAAUUAAUGCUAAAGUAUGUUCAAAUGGCAUCAAAAUAAGUUGGGUGACCUGGUUACUCUUACUUAUUUAAACUUGCAAAUCAGUGUUGUCUAAACGAUUUAAAAAAAACAAACAAAAAAAAACCCACCCUUAAAUCUGGGAGUCGAUGAGAUGAGCAAAAUAUUGCUUUUCUGUAUCCUUGUUUAUAUUUUUAUCGAUUUUGAUUUUAAACUCUUCAGGGUAGAGGGAACCUCUUGUCCAUCUUUUUUUUUUUUUUUUCUCAAGUGAAGUACCUUGAUGCUAUGCGAAUAUUAAAAAAAAUAUGGAUAAUUUUUUGUUUUUAUGUUAAAUAGACUGGGGGGGAGGAUUAGUCCCAAUCCACCAGUGAGUGACAGGAAGGUUCUAGGUGGAUUGCCACAUCCCGAGCUAUUUAACUCAUCACUGAGCCCUGUCUUAGGCAAACCUAAAUUUCUUUCAGGCCUUGAGAGGAGCUUGUGGGGCAGGAGGGUGUUGGAGAGCAAGCCCAUCUCUCUCUCUGACCCCACUGUGGUGGCUUCCAUCCCUCAGGGCUGGGCGUUGGGACCUCAGCGCCACUUGGAUUACUCUGACCACCCCUCUGUCCAUUACAGGUAUGGCCAGGCCAAACCUUAGUGGUGCUGUAAACCCAUGCCCCAGGUUGCAGUAUCAGUCAGGUUUGGCCCAGCUACUCUUCUGUCAUGGACAGGAGCUGCUGCCACUGUUUCGAGAUGAUUAUGUGGCAGGCUUGGUCUCCAAUUCCCCCUUACCUCUGCACCAGGUUGGGAUUAGGGUUGUGGUGCCUGCAUUGUGAGUGCUAUAUGUAAUGGUGGGUCACAAAAAGACAAAAUGCAGUUGAUGAGUUAUCUUAGUAAAAUGUUUGGGAACUCCUGGACAAGACUAAAGAUGUUUGCUUUCAAACCAGAGAAAGUCUAUUACCAUUUUGUUGUUACUAAUAAAAUAGUGUUGUCUAUUCAUAUUAAGUUUUAAACUAACUUGCUGUUACAGGCUUGGUUUUGACAUGCCCUGUAGUCUGGCAAAACCUAACUAAACUGCCUGAAAUGUCAGACUUCUGCUCUAUGCUGUCUUUCUUAAAAAAAAACAAACAAACAAAAAAAACCCACUUGGAUGGGGCGUUUAGGAGGCAAGACAGAAGUUGAGGUGGUUUUCGCUUCUGAAACAUCUUGCUCAUGAUUUUGUUGUUGCAGUUUUGAUUCUAAAACAGCUUUUUGUAAGUCUGGAUUUGUUUAAAAUUUGGUCUUGGCAUAUUUGCGUGACUGCGGUGGGGUGAAAGAGAAGGGGGUGGGCAAGGCAAUACAUGGGUUGGAAGAAUUUGGAAAGGACGGGUCCCUAUGGUUUGUUAGCUUUGCUUGAAUUUCUGACAGAGCAGUUCGAUUGAGAAUGGUGAAGCCUUGCAAAAAAUCUCCAUGGUGGAGCUGAAAAGAGGGGCACCAUUAACUGGAAAUCUAAUCAUGUCCAUAAACUACUUAAGUACUGUAGUCUCUAAGUGUUACCCCUGCCCCUGAGGCCCCCUGGCAGUUUUUGUGGUCUUAUAGGCACAGUAUCCUGUUUUUAAAUGUUUUUUCCUCUCUCCUGCUAUAUAAAAGACUUGCAAAAAGAAGAAAAAUGACUAUACAAAAGAAAUAAUAAAAUUGCACAAUGUAAACAAACUAAAAACAAAGUGCUUUUCUGUAUUCUUUGGUGGCUGUAACAAAAGCAGCAUUUCUUGUUUUGUUUUUUUUUUCAGAUGGAAGUAUGAUUUAUUUAUUUAUUUUUUUUAUGUUGGUGUUUCUUCAAUAUUUUUUUCAGUUCCUGAAGGGGGAAAAUUGUUCAACAGCUAUUGGUGCAAGUGAAUUUGUCUUGUGAAUUAAACAUUUAAGAUGUUUCUUGUCUUAAAGUUAUCAAAAACUUCAUGAAAGACCAGCAAUGCCUUCAGCUCACAUGCAAGGGGAAUGCUGCUCCUGCAGACCUUGAAAUACAGUAGAACCUCAGCAUUAUGAACUGAUCAAUCAACCACAUACCUCAUUUGGAACCAGAAGUAUGCAAUCAGACACCA